rnacentral:siRNA from 1 species
UCAUCGGUAUCGCCGGCCCAAUC